rnacentral:rRNA from 1 species
GAUGAACGCUGGCGGCGUGCCUAAUACAUGCAAGUCGAGCGAACGGACGAGAAGCUUGCUUCUCUGAUGUUAGCGGCGGACGGGUGAUUAACACGUGGAUAACCUACCUAUAAGACUGGGAUAACUUCGGGAAACCGGAGCUAAUACCGGAUGAUAUUUUGAACCGCAUGGUUCAAAAGUGAAAGACGGUCUUGCUGUCACUUAUAGAUGGAUCCGCGCUGCAUUAGCUAGUUGGUAAGGUAACGGCUUACCAAGGCAACGAUGCAUAGCCGACCUGAGAGGGUGAUCGGCCACACUGGAACUGAGACACGGUCCAGACUCCUACGGGAGGCAGCAGUAGGGAAUCCUCCGCAAUGGGCGAAAGCCUGAAGGAGCAACGCCGCGUGAGUGAUGAAGGUAUUAGGAUCGUAAAACUCUGUUAUUAGGGAAGAACAUAUGUGUAAGUAACUGUGCACAUCUUGACGGUACCUAAUAAGAAAGCCACGGCUAACUACGUG